UUGGGGAGCCCUGAAUUUUGGGGGGAUUUUUGGGUGGAUUUUUAGGGGUUUUUGGGGUAUUUCUGGCUGGUUCCUGAGUGGGUUUUUUUGCUAUUUUUGGGAUAUUUCUGGGUGGAUUUUUUGCUAUUUUUGGGGUAUUUCUGGAUGGAUUUUUUGCUAUUUUUGGGAUAUUUCUGGCUGGAUUUUUUGCUAUUUUUGGGAUAUUUCUGGAUGGAUUUUUUGGGAUUUUUGGGAUAUUUCUGGGUGGAUUUUUUUGCUAUUUCUGGGCUAUUUCUGGGAUAUUUCUGGGUGGAUUUUUUGCUAUGUUUGGGGUAUUUCUGGGUGGAUUUUUUGGGUUUUUCUGGGUGGAUUUUUGCUAUUUUUGGGAUAUUUCUGGGUGGAUUUUUUUGCUAUUUUUGGGAUAUUUCUGGGUGGAUUUUUUUGCUAUUUUUGGGAUAUUUCUGGGUGGAUUUUUUUGCUAUUUCUGGGAUAUUUCUGGGUGGAUUUUUUUGCUAUUUCUGGGUGGAUUUUUUUGCUAUUUUUGGGAUAUUUCUGGGUGGAUUUUUUUGC
rnacentral:lncRNA from 1 species